ACUGACUUGCAUGCAGAGUGUCAAUUUUGACCUAUAAAGCCCUAAAUGGGUUGAGAGCUGCCUGUUUAAGUAGCUACUCUCCUUUUGGCAUUCAGCAGCUGAGGUUAACAGAGAUAUUGGAGAACCCUGCUUUCGAAGAGAGCAAGAGAGAGCUGCUCUUGGAGAAUUCACCUGGAAGGAGACCUUAACUUUGGAACUCGCUCCUCAUGACUCCUUCUCAGUAGCCUAAAUCUGUUGACCUACAGGAUGCACUACAAACUUGUCUACUCCCCCACCGGUUCUGAGAGUGGGAAAGGACCCAUUCUAUAAGUUGGUGAGAGUUUGUGUGAGCCUCUGAGCUUCUUCAACUCCAAUUAAUAUGGAGUCUGAGAUGGCCUUGCAGAUCACUGGCACCUCACAAGAUCAGGCCUACUAACAAGACAUACCACAAGCAUAAGGAAAGAAGAAGACAGCUUCUUGAAACUAGUAGCUGAAAACAAAGGUGCAAAUCUGUUUGGCUGACACAUUCUUCUGAGGUCCCUAAAAGCGACACAUAUCUAUGUUGGCAAGAAGGAGAUCUGAAAGGCAGACACAUUUCUCAUUCCUACCCACUCGACUGGUACUGCAACUGUAAGCUGUCCUGGUGCCUGAUGAUUCUGAGGUGCAAUACCCCAGGAGCAAUGUGAAUCAAGAUUGGAGUCAUGUUACAUUAGGCACCGCAGUGCCUUGAAAGGGUUCAUAAUCUAAGACAAGCAAUGUCUGAAAAGUGUGGGGAGACCAUCAAAUAUAUACGUACUUAUAUACAUUUGCUAUUGAUUUUUAAUUGCAUAAAGGAAUAAACAGGAAUCAACUUUCCCCAGCUGCCCCUCUGCCUAAUCUUCAUAUGCUGGAUGAUUUCCUCUGGAAGUUACCAUUAAAGUGGGUAUUCAGAAAGGAUUUGAUGGAGAAGAGAGGACUAAGGAAGGCCUUCUAUGCAUAAGGGACAGCAUAGAAGAAAUCCUCAAGAUAUUCAUGGGAGGAGUGAGAAAGAGCAUGGCAUUAUUGGUGGGGUAGAAAGUCGAUGUGAUAAGAGGCAAGAGUGGAUAAGUAAAGAGAAGCAAAAACCAAUGGACUACUGACCUGUAACGGUAUUACUCAACAAGAGUAAGGAGGCAGACUCAAGCCCUCUAUGAGUAGUUUAUCUGGCCAUCUUUAAGAGUAGAACAAACAGCAAAGAAGGAGGCCAAAUGCCUCAUCUGUAGUCUUCAGUGUCUGUCAUCUCAGUCUCAUGUUAUUCACUUGGAAUACUCAACGUGAUCCUGUGUUGGUCAAAUGUGGAGUUAUGAGUUGGGAUUUUCAAAGAUUUAGACAUGCAAAUCCUACUAAUUUCAAUAGGAGCUGUGUGGUUUAACAGUCACUUUUGAAAGUCUCAGAUAUAGGUCGUGGUAAUGUCAUUUUCCUGCUUGACAACCCUUUUCCACUCUAAACACUCACUAGUUUUCUUUCUGUCACACAAGUUAUCCAUCUUCUAUUUUUUUGGUGAUAUGGGUACUCUUGACAUAUUUAAUUUAUAGUCACCUUAAUCAGUACUUGCUUCUCCUCUUUGUUUUCCAUAAGUACUUUUUCCCAUCAUUUUUUCUUAUCCUAAAUAAGUACCUAAAAUAGCUACGUUUAGCCUAUACCAUGGCCUCACAACAGGGAAUAUCUCUGUGCCAAGAGCCUUUCCCUACUUUUAAGGAAAGGAAAAUUUAAGAUGAAUAGCAGGAAAGGGAAAUCCCUCAAGAUGAUAUCUAUUCAACUGUGGAGAAAGCACUGGGUGAUGUACAGUAUGGGACCAUCUUGCAUUGUCAGGAAGAUGAACUUGAUAACCUACUAGGUAACUUAACUUACUCACUGGGGUGCUGUGAGGAUUAAUCAGUUAAUGUUUUACAGCCCUAUGAAACUGCAAAGUGCUAUGUAAGUGCUAAAUAUUAUUAUUUUUUAUUACAUCCUUUGCACUUUACAUGCAAGAGUGAACCAUUUUGAGAAGACAAUGCAAGUGUGUCUAUUAUUAUCCAUGUUCUCAAUCAUCGUGAGCAAGUUCUGCAACUCAAAUUUUCAUCUCAAGAGUAUGCUGCUGAAAUGUAAUUAUUGGAGGUGUAUAAAUGGUCUGCUGUCUCAGAUCUUUUGUAAAUGUUAAUCCUAUUCUUAUAAAAACCAACUCUAAAAUGUAGCUGUUUGGAGUUGUUCUGUGUUUCUACAGCACAGUGGGGGUCCUGGUUGAUGGCUGGAGCUCAUAGAUGCUACUCUAAUACAAAUAAAUAAUAAUAGUCAACC